CCGAGUUGACAAACUCCCUAAACCCUUUGUGAACCUUACCAUAUACGUUGCUUCGGCGGGGCCCGGGGUACCCCCCGGGCGCCCCUCGCGGCCCCACCAGGGCGCCCGCCGGAGGUCCCCAAACUCUUGAUAAUUUAGUGGCUUCUGCGUCUCUGAGUGACCAUGAACAAUAAGUAA
rnacentral:misc_RNA from 1 species